UUAGCAGUUUUGUUUCUAGUCCUGUCUUUAGACUGAUCUGAGUUAGAAUUCUUCAUUAUUUCAUAUUAAUUCAGGUACCUGUUUGUCAUCAGAGUUCCUAGUUUCUGGUCUCGUACGGUAAUCAUUGCUUGCACUUAGACCUGGUCUAUCCAUCUUAUAUUAAUUGUGCUAAGUGACUUUGUAAUUGUUUAGUUUAAUCAUUCACUCAUCUGAAUGAUCGACAUCUACAGUGCGUCCCAAAAAGAUGCUGACAUAUGUAAUGGUUGUGUGUAUACAUCUUUUUGGGACGCGCCGUCUAUUUGAACUGGGUUACUGUGACAUGUAUCAUUGCGUUAGUUACCCUUGAACAUGGAAGACAAAAGACCUGAUCCAUAUGAAAAGGAGUUGUGUCUCAAGUCAAUGUGAUGCUGUAACUUCAUAGUGAUAUGAAUUAGAUGCCUCUAACUGUAUCAGCGAAUACUGUCAGCAUUCAGCUGUUGAACACUAACAUUUUGUGACAUUAUUGCAGUUAUUCUUGCGAGGUUCUUUUUUAUAGUUGAGGUUAUCGUAUUCAUGAAAUUUGUGGUGAGACGGACAGCCGGCUCAGAGUGCGAGUUCGCGUUAUAUAGAGAAUAUAUAAACAUGUUAGAAAGUAGGACUGGAUAUCUUAAAGAGACAUUUGAAGGUUAUAUUGGUAAUAUACCAAUUUCAGACCGUGUUGUACGAAAUGUUAUGGAUCGAAUUUCAAUAUUGGCUGAUUAGAGGCCAGGCAGGGUUGAAACUAUUGAAAUAGCACUGAGCCUCGAGUGCUUCAUUGUCACUUUUGUUGUAUUUGACAUAAUUCUUCUGAGUGUGCAGCAGAGUGUACUGUAGUUAAUGUCAUGAACUGGAGUGUCAUGUGUCGUGUUUGUCAUCAUAGUUGUAGUCGUAAUUGGAGAGUCUUUAUUAAAAAUGUUAUGGUUAACCAGUUUAGUGAAUCUCAACCCAUUGGCAGACUUUCACAUCUGUCUGAUGUCCACCCUUUAAUAGCUGUAAAAAAAGUUGUCAGAAAUAAGUUGAAACGAUUGAUCAUUCGGCAAAGUAUGUGGAAGUGUUUUCGUAGACUCGAGCAUUUGUGUUGAAAGCUUUGAAUUAAUGUUUAAAUAGUUAUUUUGAGUAGACCAAAUAAAGUAAUAUGCCAAGGGGUUAAGAGUUGUCAUCAAACCAAUACAGUGAAAUCUCUGUGUAAGAAGAGUUUUAAAAUAAAUAAACUUCAUAGGUAGUCAGUCAGGGAACUCCCUGUUUUGCAAGCCGUCCCGCUAAUAUUCUUUCUUGACCUCAGCACUGGAUGGGGGUGAGUGGUCAGCAUCAUGACCUGGUUGCGCUUUACUCCCGCGAAGGGACCCCGGUACCCAUCGGAUAGGAGGCUUGGUGGGCCCCAGAGCUUGUCUGGACGCAGAGGCUAGAGGAAAAAUCCUCUGCCCCCGUUUCGGAUUGACCCCCGGUCAUCCGGUCUGCAGCCAGUCGCAAUAUUGACUGAGCUAUGCUGGCUUCUUACCAGACAAAUUUUAAAUUUCAGUACUGGGGGAAGAAAAUGCAGCUUUGAAUUUGAGCUUCAAAUAGGAAGUACUUUAAUAUUCAGACUUUGAUUUCAUCUUCAGAAUGCAUCCUGCAAAUUAUAGAUGAUUUGGGUUCAUUCCCCAACAGGAAUAUGUGGAUUUUUCACUUUGCCAAAGGUUCUCGGACUGUUCCAGCAUCUGUAAUAACUGUGUAGUUACUGACUCUAUGAUGUAGGAUGUCACUUGUAUGGUCAAAGAAUUCCCCAUCGCAUGGAGCUUACGUUCAAACGAGCCUGACUCUAGUCCCUAUUCUGAGCCAGUUCAAUAUACUCCCCACCCUCACAUCAUAUUUGUUAUACAUUUUUCAUCUUCCUAAUGGCUGGAACAGCGAUCCUAACAAUCUCGUCUUUAACUGUAAUCAUACUCCGGUACUGUAGUAGUGGAGGGCCAAAUAAUCAAGACAUUGUGUUAUGCCGUGCAGACUUCAAUGAUGUAAUUGCACUCGGCGAUGAUAAAAUUGGCAAUAGAGUUGUAAUAGUGUCUCAUAAUUAACCGAUGGGAUCCAUUGUGUAGGAGUCAAGAUGGCUGUCUCUAGCACAAGGUGCAGUAACCUCCUCCUCCAUUUCCAUUUUUAAGCCCAUGGCUGGACCAUUACACCUUACAUUUCCUAGGUCUGUCUGAAUCUGUUGCUAAAUAGAUUUCACUGUAUUGAGUUUUGCACUGGUAUUUUUAACGCACGAAUUAAGUAUAUUUCAGAACACUUUGAACUUUUGUAAUUGGAAAAUGCAGGUAGUUAUAAUUUUUGAAUUGUUCAUCUCACUGAAGCAAUGUUUAUUUAUUAUAGUGUGAUCAGCGUAGGUUUUGUAAAUAAUAUUUUAUAUUAAUUUUUAUAAAACCAUAUCAAACCUCAGGUGAGACCAUUAAACCAGGGUUUCCUACAGUUUUGUUUCAGCGGUACGGAUUGCCAAAAUCACGUUUUUGGUAAUUAAAAUAUUCAUCGGCUUUGUUUGUUAACAAAAUUAUAUUAGUGCAUUAUUUCCAGUCAGAGGUCAGAAACAUCUCUUGACACUUUUCGGAACUCUUCUUAUUUUUGGGUGUGACCACGGAGGUUUCCAUUUUGUCAUCACGCGGAAUGAAAGUAGAAUACCUCCCCUGUAACCAUCCUGCCACCUGGAUGAAGCGCAGUUUUGUUUUAAUUGGGGCUUUGUGGUGGUCGUGGUUUUAUAAAGUGCAUUCAUUCCCAGAUGAUGAAGCGUUAUUUCAGCUGGGGCCGUACACUUGCACAAGAUAUGUGGGGCAGUGCUCGUUUUUUAAUGGAAAUUCAUGCAAGUGGGGCUGUUUGCCAGUCCCAGUUUCAAUAGGCGUCUCUUUAAGUGACAAGUGUUUUUUCAGUAGUCCUGACAUCGAUUCCUACUCAUUCUUCUCAUUAUAUUCUUGAAUGCGACCCUUCAUAAGUUUUCAUCCAGGUGUGAACUGCCAUUAUUCCCACUGUUUUCUGUUCAUCCAGUCCCUGGCAGCCUACAAAGCCAGUUCUAAUCCUGUGAAUGGAUGUUCAAAUCUCUCUGUGCCUGGAAAUGUUAUUCCUUUCAAUUACCCUGUCUCCUGCUAGCCACGUCAUUUGUACCAUGUUAUGUUACGCGAAUUUAAUUUGGGAAUGUUGGCAGUCCCAGACUGACUUAAAGUUCGUCCGCUAAUUGCUAACUGCAGCCAUGAGUGUGCGCCUUCUAUGUAUCCAUUUUUAAACUUUUGAACCAGUUGAAUGAUUUUUACGAAAGUUUUUACGAGUGUUAUGCCAGUGGAGGCCGCUCUGUCGUCAUUUUUUAUUUCGUGUAGGUUUUGCUGAAAUCAUGGCUGGCAUCCAAAUUUUUUGAGGUCGGAGAAAUAUUACUGCUCCCUAAUACAGUAUAGGAUCGUGAAAUUGUAUAUCGUAUGCAGUUUUUGUUGAGGCAACUUUUAUCUAGAAUAUGAAACAAGAUGACAGCCUCGCAAAAAUGUCCCUGGCGUUCAGUUUGACAGAGAUGGGUAAUGAACUGCUGUAGCUAGGAAUUUUAAGUUCCGUAUGGUAAUAGAUCAAAGACGCAGCUGUGAAAUAUUGAUUUAUAAGUCAAUGACUACAAACAUGCAGAUAAAUUCAUUUCAAAAAUUAAUACUAAUUACAGACUCAAAUGAUAGUGAUGAUGUGUGAGAUUGACAUUUGCAAGCAAUAACAGGAAUCUUUAACUUCGGUAGGAUUCAGUCUUAAGCCCUUCUGUGCGCAAACCCUGAACAUUUCAGAGAACCUUCAAGGUGGAGAGAUGACAGCAUCUUAGGACCAGUAUUUGGUAGUUCUGCUUUCAGUUUUGCUGUGGUUCUUUGCACAUGCGUAGGUUCGUUGCCCACUUGAGAAGAGUGACUGAAGCCUUGGUUUAUGGUCUCACAUCAGAACUGAUAAAGGAAGGCGGGACUCACAGAAAACUGAUAGUCGAAGCCUUCCAUUAUCCCCUGCAGCAGAUAGACACGCAAAUGUAAAUCUCAGGUUCCUUGUUGUCUCCGGCGAUGUCUUGUUUCUAAGCGGGUAAGUUGCGGUGGGACUGGGUGGCAGGUUCUUGCUGUUCCUAUAGAUGUCAGGUGCUCCAGCUAACAGCACUUUUUGUAACACCCUGUAGCAAUUACCGCUUUAUCGAACACCACACGUUUUGCUACUGGUUUCAACGUUCAGGCAGUCAUGACACUUAGUUCCUCUCUAAAUUUGGCUGUUGUGUUGAGACCGGCGCCAUCCAGUUCAUUCAUUGAAUUUGUCAAUGCAAAUCUUUAUAGAAGAGGCAAUUGGUCAGUUUUAAAGCUUUAUAUCCACUGCUAAGAUGGCUGUGAUAAUACUUACACUUUUAAACAAGACGUCUCCCCACUGUUCACUUAGAGUCUCUGUCAUGUCACUGGAUUUCUACAGAUAUGUACUCGUGCAGUGCAUAAGAUUUUGUUGAUAUCUGUUUGCUGGAAAAGGGAAUGUGUAUUCUUUAUAAAAAUUAAUCCUGUUACAUUGUAGCUGAAUAGUUGCUUUCGUAGCGUGUACAUAAAGACUGGAAAGUUUUGUACAGUGUGUUCACUGAUAAAGUCACUUCCCAGUUCCCAGCUGGAAUUGCAAGACUUGGCCGCCAAAUGCUAAAAGGAUUUCCCAAUAUAAGUCGAGUAUUGCUCUAUAAAAUAAUAAAAUCAACUUUCCUACGUUGUAAUUCCUGCUAGAAUCCAGGAAGUGACUUACCACUGAGCGCACUGUAUUUUGUGUUUUCAAUAGUUUGACUGUGUUUCGUCAGUUUGGCACCUGGGCGCUGCCUCUGCUCAGACGCCGAUUGUCGGAGGCAGCUCUUUCGUGGAAGAAUACUUUCUUUUUCGAUGUAAUUAUCUAACACAAAUGGAUUGCUUGUUCAUUAGAAUGUGCACUUUACUUACUUCAGGUUUACAGAUUGAGAUGAGUUUAUUGUAUAUCUGUGUAACAAGUGUUAAUGGAAUAUUUAUAUUUUCUGCUGACGAUCAAUAUUGUACGACUUACGUGUUGUUGAAUUACUUACCACAGUGGUAACCCCA